rnacentral:rRNA from 1 species
AGAGUUUGAUCCUGGCUCAGAUUGAACGCUGGCGGCAGGCCUAACACAUGCAAGUCGAACGGUAACAGGAAGAAGCUUGCUUCUUUGCUGACGAGUGGCGGACGGGUGAGUAAUGUCUGGGAAACUGCCUGAUGGAGGGGGAUAACUACUGGAAACGGUAGCUAAUACCGCAUAACGUCGCAAGACCAAAGAGGGGGACCUUCGGGCCUCUUGCCAUCGGAUGUGCCCAGAUGGGAUUAGCUUGUUGGUGGGGUAACGGCUCACCAAGGCGACGAUCCCUAGCUGGUCUGAGAGGAUGACCAGCCACACUGGAACUGAGACACGGUCCAGACUCCUACGGGAGGCAGCAGUGGGGAGUAUUGCACAAUGGGCGCAAGCCUGAUGCAGCUAUGCCGCGUGUAUGAAGAAGGCCUUCGGGUUGUAAAGUACUUUCAGCGGGGAGGAAGGGAGUAAAGUUAAUACCUUUGCUCAUUGACGUUACCCGCAGAAGAAGCACCGGCUAACUCCGUGCCAGCAGCCGCGGUAAUACGGAGGGUGCAAGCGUUAAUCGGAAUUACUGGGCGUAAAGCGCACGCAGGCGGUUUGUUAAGUCAGAUGUGAAAUCCCCGGGCUCAACCUGGGAACUGCAUCUGAUACUGGCAAGCUUGAGUCUCGUAGAGGGGGGUAGAAUUCCAGGUGUAGCGGUGAAAUGCGUAGAGAUCUGGAGGAAUACCGGUGGCGAAGGCGGCCCCCUGGACGAAGACUGACGCUCAGGUGCGAAAGCGUGGGGAGCAAACAGGAUUAGAUACCCUGGUAGUCCACGCCGUAAACGAUGUCGACUUGGAGGUUGUGCCCCUGAGGCGUGGCUUCCGGAACUAACGCGUUAAAGUCAACCGCCUUGGGGAGUACGGCCGCAAGGUUAAAACUCAAAUGAAUUGACGGGGGCCCGCACAAGCGGUGGAGCAUGUGGUUUAAUUCGAUGCAACGCGAAGAACCUUACCUGGUCUUGACAUCCACGGAAGUUUUCAGAGAUGAGAAUGUGCCUUCGGGAACCGUGAGACAGGUGCUGCAUGGCUGUCGUCAGCUCGUGUUGUGAAAUGUUGGGUUAAGUCCCGCAACGAGCGCAACCCUUAUCCUUUGUUGCCAGCGGUCCGGCCGGGAACUCAAAGGAGACUGCCAGUGAUAAACUGGAGGAAGGUGGGGAUGACGUCAAGUCAUCAUGGCCCUUACGACCAGGGCUACACACGUGCUACAAUGGCGCAUACAAAGAGAAGCGACCUCGCGAGAGCAAGCGGACCUCAUAAAGUGCGUCGUAGUCCGGAUUGGAGUCUGCAACUCGACUCCAUGAAGUCGGAAUCGCUAGUAAUCGUGGAUCAGAAUGCCACGGUGAAUACGUUCCCGGGC